rnacentral:rRNA from 1 species
AUUGAACGCUGGCGGCAUGCCUUACACAUGCAAGUCGAACGGCAGCACGGGAGCAAUCCUGGUGGCGAGUGGCGAACGGGUGAGUAAUAUAUCGGAACGUGCCCAGUCGUGGGGGAUAACGUAGCGAAAGCUACGCUAAUACCGCAUACGAUCUAUGGAUGAAAGCGGGGGAUCGCAAGACCUCGCGCGAUUGGAGCGGCCGAUAUCAGAUUAGGUAGUUGGUGAGGUAAAGGGCUCACCAAGCCGACGAUCUGUAGCUGGUCUGAGAGGACGACCAGCCACACUGGGACUGAGACACGGCCCCAGACUCCUACGGAGGCAGCAGUGGGGAAUUUUUGGGACAAUGGGCGCAAGCCUGAUCCAGCAAUGCCGCGUGCAGGAUGAAGGCCUUCGG